rnacentral:rRNA from 1 species
CAGUCGCCGCGGGAAUACAGAGGGUGCGAGCGUUAAUCGGAUUUACUGGGCGUAAAGCGUGCGUAGGCGGCUUUUUAAGUCGGAUGUGAAAUCCCUGAGCUUAACUUAGGAAUUGCAUUCGAUACUGGGAAGCUAGAGUAUGGGAGAGGAUGGUAGAAUUCCAGGUGUAGCGGUAAAAUGCGUAGAGAUCUGGAGGAAUACCGAUGGCGAAGGCAGCCAUCUGGCCUAAUACUGACGCUGAGGUACGAAAGCAUGGGGAGCAAACAGGAUUAGAUACCCGUGUAGUCCCUGUCUCUUAUAC